rnacentral:rRNA from 1 species
UACGUAGGUGGCUAGCGUUGUCCGGAUUUACUGGGCGUAAAGAGCGCGCAGGCGGUCGUUCAAGUCGAGUGUGAAAGCCCCCGGCUCAACUGGGGAGGGUCACUCGAUACUGAUCGACUCGAAGGCAGGAGAGGGAAGCGGAAUUCCCGGUGUAGUGGUGAAAUGCGUAGAUAUCGGAAGGAACAUCAGUGGCGAAAGCGGCUUCCUGGACCAGUACCGACGUUCAGGCACGAAAGCGUGGGGAGCAAACAGG